AGCUUUGUGCAGCGGAGCAUCGCAGCCAAUGAGGUUUAUCUGAGGCUCAAUUAUUGCUAAUUGAAAACUUUUCCCAAUACCCCACCAUGAUGACUUGAAAUAUAGUCGGCAUUGGCAAUUUUUGACAGUCUCUACGUAGA
rnacentral:snRNA from 1 species